UACGUAGGAUCCAAGCGUUAUCCGGAAUAACUGGGCGUAAAGAGUUGCGUAGGCGGAACAGUAAGCGGAGUGUGAAAUCGCGUGGCUCAACCAUACGGCUAUGCUCUGAACUGCUGAUCUAGAGAAUGAGAGAGGUCACUGGAAUUACUAGUGUAGGAGUGAAAUCCGUAGAUAUUAGUAGGAACACCGAUGGCGUAGGCAGGUGACUGGCUCAUUUCUGACGCUCAGGCACGAAAGCGUGGGGAGCAAACGGG
rnacentral:rRNA from 1 species